rnacentral:misc_RNA from 1 species
GAGCUCCGGCUAAUUGUGUGCCAGCAGCCGCGGGAAUACACAAGGGGCCAGUUUAAGGUUAAAACAAGGCAACGGUGUUUAAAAACUGGAAAUGCGCCUAAAAUAGCUUAAUGCGUUGGAGUAAGGGUUAAAUCUGUAAAAACCUUGCAGAAAGCCUUAAAGUAAAAGCAGCUAUUCAUGCCCAUAAAACAGUCUAUAAACGAGAGCUGCGGUAGCAAAACGGAUUAGAUACCCGUGUAGUCCCAGCCGUAAAUUAUUUAUUAAAUUAAAGCGCCUAGCGAUAUUGCCUAUGGCACUAAACUAGGGAAUCUGACAGCAUUAAACUGACGCGGUGGAGCAUACUUCUUAAUUUGAUAAUACGCAAAAACAUUACCACGAU